GAUGAAGAACGUAGUGAAAUGCGAUAAGUAGUGUGAAUUGCAGAAUUCAGUGAAUCAUCGAAUCUUUGAACGCACAUUGCGCCCCUUGGUAUUCCGAGGGGCAUGCCUGUUCGAGCGUCAUAUUAACCACUCCCGCUUGCGGGGUCUUGGGCUUCGCCUCCGGGCGGGCCUUAAAAUCAGUGGCGGUGCCGUCGGGCUCUACGCGUAGUAAAUUUUCUCGCGAUAGGGUCCCGGUGGAUGCUUGCCAACAACCCCCAACUUCUUAAGGUUGACCUCGGAUCAGGUAGGGAUACCCGCUGAACUUAAGCAUAUCAAUAAGCGGAGGA
rnacentral:misc_RNA from 1 species